UGGCCGUUUACUGCUUGGGGCACUCUUAGCUGCAGUAGGCUUGGUAGGAAGAGAAGUAGAUGGACGAACAGACUGUUUGGCACGAGCAGAAGAGGAAGGACUCCUAAUAGACAUAAGGGUGACCAAAACAGGAGAAGUGGAAGAAAUGUCUGGCUGAUCCAGUGAAUGGAAAGCGCGAUUGGCAUCAGUUGCAAACAAUCUGCGAUGUACUGAUGGCCAGAGUUGUUCAAAAAGGGGAUGGAUGAC
rnacentral:lncRNA from 1 species